rnacentral:rRNA from 1 species
CAUUACUAGAGCAAAGGAUAGACAGCGCCCGCGGAGCUCGCUCCCGGGGCUACCCUACUCCCGUAGGGUUUAGAGUCGUCGGGCCUCUCGGAGAAGCUCGGUCCUGAACUCCACCCUUGAAUAAACUACCUUUGUUGCUUUGGCGGGCCGCCUCGUGCCAGCGGCUUCGGCUGUUGAGUGCCCGCCAGAGGACCCCAACUCUUGUUUUUAGUGAUGUCUGAGUACUAUAUAAUAGUUAAAACUUUCAACAACGGAUCUCUUGGUUCUGGCAUCGAUGAAGAACGCAGCGAAAUGCGAUAAGUAAUGUGAAUUGCAGAAUUCAGUGAAUCAUCGAAUCUUUGAACGCACAUUGCGCCCUCUGGUAUUCCGGGGGGCAUGCCUGUUCGAGCGUCAUUAUAACCACUCAAGCUCUCGCUUGGUAUUGGGGUUCGCGGUUUCGCGGCCCCUAAAAUCAGUGGCGGUGCCUGUCGGCUCUACGCGUAGUAAUACUCCUCGCGAUUGAGUCCGGUAGGUCUACUUGCCAGCAACCCCUAAUUUUUUUAAGG